rnacentral:rRNA from 1 species
GCUCAGAACGAACGCUGGCGGCAGGCUUAAUCCAUGCAAGUCGCGCGGUAAGUGCUCCUUCGGGAGUACACGAGCGGCGAACGGGUGAGUAACGGGUGGACAACCUGCCUCUUGAAGGAGAACAACAGCGGGAAACUGCUGCUAAUGCUCCGUACCUUCUGUAGUCGCAUGUCCGCAGAAGAAAGGCGCUUCUGGCGUCGUCGAAAGAUGAGUCCGCCUCCCAUUAGCUAGUUGGUGAGAUAAUAGCCCACCAAGGCAACGAUGGGUAGCCGAGCUGAGAGGUUGAUCGGCCACACUGGGACUGAGACACGGCCCAGACACCUACGGGUGGCAGCAGUGGGGAAUAUUGCACAAUGGGCGAAAGCCUGAUGCAGCCAUGCCGCGUGGAGGAUGAAGGCCUUCGGGUCGUAAACUCCUUUUCUGAGGGAAGAACAACCGGGGUAGGAAAUGAUCCCGGCUUGACGGUACCUUAGGAAUAAGCAACGGCUAACUCCGUGCCAGCAGCCGCGGUAAUACGGAGGUUGCGAGCGUUGUUCGGAAUUACUGGGCGUAAAGGGAGCGCAGGCGGCCAGGUCAGUCUAAAGUGAAAGCCCGGGGCUUAACCUCGGAAUUGCUUUGGAUACUGUUGGACUUGAGUACGUGAGAGGAAAGUGGAAUUCCUGGUGUAGCGGUGAAAUGCGUAGAUAUCAGGAGGAACACCGGUGGCGAAAGCGGCUUUCUGGCACGUUACUGACGCUGAGACUCGAAAGCGUGGGGAGCAAACAGGAUUAGAUACCCUGGUAGUCCACGCCGUAAACGUUGUGCACUAGGUGUAGGAGGUAUCGACCCCUUCUGUGCCGCAGCUAACGCAUUAAGUGCACCGCCUGGGGAGUACGCGCGCAAGCGUGAAACUCAAAGGAAUUGACGGGGGCCCGCACAAGCGGUGGAGCAUGUGGUUUAAUUCGAGGCAACGCGAAGAACCUUACCCAGGCUUGACAUCCUGCGCUACUUAUGGAAACAUGAGGUUCUCUUCGGAGACGCAGAGACAGGUGUUGCAUGGCUGUCGUCAGCUCGUGUCGUGAGAUGUUGGGUUAAGUCCCGCAACGAGCGCAACCCUUAUCCUUAGUUACCAGCGGUUCGGCCGGGGACUCUAUGGAGACUGCCCGUGAUAAGCGGGAGGAAGGUGGGGACGACGUCAAGUCAUCAUGGCCCUUACGUCUGGGGCUACACACGUGCUACAAUGGCCGGAACAGUGAGCAGCAAAAUCGCGAGGUAGAGCUAAUCUCAAAAAUCCGGUCUCAGUUCGGAUUGGAGUCUGCAACUCGACUCCAUGAAGUUGGAAUCGCUAGUAAUCGCGUAUCAGCAAUGACGCGGUGAAUACGUUCCCGGGCCUUGUACACACCGCCCGUCACAUGACCCGAGUCGGUUGCACCCGAAGUCGCUGACCCAACCCGCAAGGGAGGGAGGUGCCGAAGGUCCGUCCGGUAAGGGGGACGAAGUC